UACGGAGGAGGCAAGCGUUAUCCGGAAUUAUUGGGCGUAAAGCGUCCGCAGGUGGCACCUCAAGUCUGCUGUCAAAGACCGGGGCUUAACCCCAGAAAGGCAGUGGAAACUGAAGUGCUAGAGUGCAGUAGGGGUAGAGGGAAUUCCAGGUGUAGCGGUGAAAUGCGUAGAUAUCUGGAGGAACACCGGUGGCGAAGGCGACAUCCUGGACCGGUAUUGACGCUGAGGCGCGAAAGCCAGGGGAGCAA
rnacentral:rRNA from 1 species